AAAUUGAAGAGUUUGAUCAUGGCUCAGAUUGAACGCUGGCGGCAGGCCUAACACAUGCAAGUCGAACGGUAACAGGAAACAGCUUGCUGUUUCGCUGACGAGUGGCGGACGGGUGAGUAAUGUCUGGGAAACUGCCUGAUGGAGGGGGAUAACUACUGGAAACGGUAGCUAAUACCGCAUAACGUCGCAAGACCAAAGAGGGGGACCUUCGGGCCUCUUGCCAUCGGAUGUGCCCAGAUGGGAUUAGCUAGUAGGUGAGGUAACGGCUCACCUAGGCGACGAUCCCUAGCUGGUCUGAGAGGAUGACCAGCCACACUGGAACUGAGACACGGUCCAGACUCCUACGGGAGGCAGCAGUGGGGAAUAUUGCACAAUGGGCGCAAGCCUGAUGCAGCCAUGCCGCGUGUAUGAAGAAGGCCUUCGGGUUGUAAAGUACUUUCAGCGG
rnacentral:rRNA from 1 species